CCCGAACUGGGGCGGACAGAUUGACCCGGUUAGGCAGUCACGGUCCCUUGAUCUGAAAAGAUAUGUAAAUCCCGUUCCUGUGCCUCCUUCUGAUGCCACCAGAGAUCCUUGGCUUGUGCCCUUUCCCCCACUCCUGCGGAGCCUCCAAUUCCACCACCACCCCCAUCACUCACGUGUCCAGCUCAUCUACAGGGGUGCCUGAUCCACCCAGGCCACAGUAGCAGCCGUAGUUGUUGUAAUCCAGCAAGGGUGCGCUGUCGGGGAUCUUGCACUUGAUCAUGCUUCGGAACUGCCACAACGCCCGCGAGUUGACGUUGCUGGUGGCAGCGCCCGCUGCAAAGAGACUUACAGCUAGAGUUCGAAUGGAUCCUGGUUGGCCCUGCCAGCAAGAGUUCCGUGGAUUCCCUGCCUGCCCGCUCUCCCAGGCCCCCUGAUGCCCCCUGAUGCCCCCUGGAUCCCGGAGGAGGAGAGCUGGCCACAAGGAACCUGAUAAAGAGGGAAAUCAGCUGGCAUGUAGUGAUGGACAGCCAGCGGGGAUGGAGGCUCCCGGGCCAGUAGCCCACAUGGAGCUGAAUCAGGCUAACCGCUGCUCAAGUGAGUUUAGAAGCCGGUCCUCCCGCCGUCAAGCCUUCAGAUGAGACCCCAGCACCAGCCAACACCUUGAUUGCAGCCUCAUGGGAGACCCUGAGCCAGAGCAACCAGCUCAACUGGACCCUGGUUCCUAAUCCACAGAGACUGUGAGAUAAUAAAAUGUUUGUUGUUUUAA